AACUAGUAUUGGAGGCACUGCCUGCCCAGUGACGACCGUUAAACGGCCGCGGUAUCCUGACCGUGCAAAGGUAGCAUAAUCACUUGUUCUCUAAAUAGGGACUUGUAUGAAUGGCCACACGAGGGUUUUACUGUCUCUUACUUCCAAUCAGUGAAAUUGACCUUCCCGUGAAGAGGCGGGAAUAUAUAAAUAAGACGAGAAGACCCUAUGGAGCUUUAACUACUUAGCCCAAAGAAACAAACUUCAUUACCAAGGAAACAACAAUACUCUUUAUGGGCUAACAGCUUUGGUUGGGGUGACCUCGGAGAAUAAGAAACCCUCCGAGCGAUUUUAAAGACUAGACUUACAAGUCGAAUCACACAAUCGCUUAUUGAUCCAAAAAAUUGAUCAACGGAACAAGUUACCCUAGGGAUAACAGCGCAAUCCUAUUCAAGAGUCCCUAUCGACAAUAGGGUUUACGACCUCGAUGUUGGAUCAGGACAUCCCGAUGGUGCAACCGCUAUCAAAGGUUCGUUUGUUCAACGAUUAAAGUCCUACGUGAUCUGAGUUCAA
rnacentral:rRNA from 1 species